UACAACUUCAAGCUCAGCUUGGUGAUGGGCGUCUGUCACACCUUUGCGUGCGGACUCGCCUCAAAUGCAGUUGGCAGCUUGUUCCCCGGCUCUAAACGCAGCAGACUUGCGUCGAGCGCCUUGUGGACCAGCUCUCCAGUAAGCAAACACCCUUAAA
rnacentral:misc_RNA from 1 species